AAUAGCCAUAUUUAAAAGAACAGGAAAAUUAAGUUUUAAUAAUUAAAAUGCAUACAGUAUGUUCAAGUAGAUUCACAGACAAUAUUUUUUGAAGUUGAAUGAAAUGACAAUUAAAUAUAUAAAAACAAUAGUUUAUAAAUAAAUUAGCACACAAGUAUACUGUUUAAAUAACACAACCAGGAUUUUAAAAAAUCUCUUCACAUAAUAUUUUGCAAUUCACUCCCAAUCCAACUCUGAGGCAUUAGAUUAGAAUUGGCUCACUGGUCAGUUUCAGAGUCAUAGUAACCUCGUUAUGCAAUUUUCCUGCUGGGCAGCACGCUGUAGUGUAUAGUGGUUUGCAGCUUAUCUAGGUCAAAAUUUGAAUUCUGAUAAACAAGAUGUGCGCUACUUUCUUGUUGCCGGUUUAAAAGAAAAGACUUUGCAUCAUAUAAGCAACAUAAAUAUUUGCUGGACUAUUAACUCUACUCGCUCAAUCUUCAUGAUCAACAUCUGAGUUUCAUUCAAACUGCCACAUUCAAAAGACCCGCUUUUAGUGAAGACAAAAUUUAUGGUGCUACACAAAUAGAGAGCUUAUAUCAGAUGAUAAACUACUAACUGUAGUUCUUCAUUGGGAGUAUUUUCAGUGUUUGUGAUUCUGAAUGAUAGACCUUCCACUCAGCUGAUUCUAUAGUGACCAAAUGUUGUAAUUACAUGCUUUUUCUGAAGAAUCAUAAAUAAGCAGUGGCAUCAAUGAAUGCCGGAUUAUUCUUUAAGAAGAAUGGAUUUCUGUGAUUCUGUUCGUAUAAAAUUCAGUGAAUACAUGUAGUUUGGAUUAUGUUUUAUUUUUAAAGUGUCAUCUGAUUAAGGAAGAUCAUUUGUUCGGAUUAUAUUUACAUGACGUCAUAGUUCAUGUUACAUAUGUGUAUAAUAUUUCUUUUUUAUUUUUGGUAACUUAAAUUAUAUAUCAAAUAUUAAAGGGAUCUUUAUUGCAAAUAUCAAGGUGUUUAUUUAAAUUGUACAUUAAGAAGUAUAAUUUUCCUAUGACAUGUAUGAGUUGUUAGCUUUAACAGAUCAUACCAGGAUCAUGAUUUUGAUGCGAGUUGUUAGAUUUAACAGAUCAUACCAGGAUCAUGGUUUUAAUGCAAGUUGUUACAUACAACAGAUCAUACCAGGAUCAUGGUUUUAAUGCGAGUUGUUGGCCACAAUAGAUCAUACCAGGAUCAUGGUUUUAAUGCGAGUUGUUAGAUACAACAGAUCAUACCAGGAACAUGGUUUUAAUGCGAGUUGUUAGCUACAAUAGAUCAUACCAGAAUCAUGGUUUUAAUACGAGUUGUUAGAGCUCUACAAUAGAUCAUACCAGGAUCAUGGUUUUCUUGCUAGUUGUUUAGUGUAACAGAUCAUCUUAGAACCAUGAUCCAUUAGCUCAUUUGCAUGUGAAAUUUUCCUAUACCGAAAUCAUACCAAAACCAUGAUUUACACACGAGUCAUUAGUAUGAUCCAAUAGGCUAUUUUUUCUG